CCCGCUGAACUUAAGCAUAUCAAUAAGCGGAGGAAAAGAAACUAACAAGGAUUCCCUUAGUAACGGCGAGUGAAGAGGGAACAGCUCAAAUUUGAAAUCUGAUGGCCUACGGCUAUCCGAGUUGUAAUCUAGAGAAGUGUUUUCCGCGCUGGACCGUGUACAAGUCCUUUGGAACAAGGCGUCAUAGAGGGUGAGAAUCCCGUCUACGACACGGACUACCAGUGCUUUGUGAUACACUCUCAACGAGUCGAGUUGUUUGGGAAUGCAGCUCAAAAUGGGUGGUAAAUUCCAUCUAAAGCUAAAUACAGGCGAAAGACCGAUAGCGAACAAGUACCGUGAGGGAAAGAUGAAAAGCACUUUGGAAAGAGAGUUAAACAGUACGUGAAAUUGUUGAAAGGGAAACGCUUGAAGUCAGUCGCGUCUUCAGAAAUUCAGCCUGGCUUCUGCCUGGUGUACUUUUCUGUUGGACGGGCCAGCAUCAGUUUUGACCGUCAGAAAAAGGCGAGAGGAAGGUGGCACCUCCGGGUGUGUUAUAGCCUCUCGUCGUAUGUGACGGCUGGGACUGAGGACCGCAGCACGCCUUCAUGGCCGGGGUUCGCCCACGUAACGUGCUUAGGAUGCUGGCGUAAUGGCUUUAAACGACCCGUUCUUGAAAACACGGA
rnacentral:rRNA from 1 species